UACGUAGGGUCCGAGCGUUGUCCGGAAUUACUGGGCGUAAAGAGCUCGUAGGUGGUUUGUCGCGUUGUUCGUGAAAACUCACAGCUCAACUGUGGGCGUGCGGCGAUACGGGCAGACUAGAGUACUGCAGGGGAGACUGGAAUUCCUGGUGUAGCGGUGGAAUGCGCAGAUAUCAGGAGGAACACCGGUGGCGAAGGCGGGUCUCUGGGCAGUAACUGACGCUGAGGAGCGAAAGCGUGGGGAGCGAACAGG
rnacentral:rRNA from 1 species